rnacentral:rRNA from 1 species
UACGGAGGGUGCAAGCGUUAUCCGGAUUUACUGGGUUUGAAGGGUGUGUAGGCGGACUUUUAAGUCAGCGGUGAAAUCUCCGGGCUCAACCCGGAAACUGCCAUUGAUACUAUUGGUCUUGAAUGUUGUUGAGGUGGGCGGAACGGGUCAUGUAGCGGUGAAAUGCAUAGAUAUGACCCGGAACACCGAUUGCGUAGGCAGCCCACUAAGCAACGAUUGACGCUGAGGCACGAAAGCGUGGGGAUCAAACAGG